CCUACGGGAGGCAGCAGUGAGGAAUAUUGGACAAUGGGCGCAAGCCUGAUCCAGCCAUGCCGCGUGCAGGAAGACGGUCCUAUGGAUUGUAAACUGCUUUUAUACAGGAAGAAACACCUCUACGUGUAGAGACUUGACGGUACUGUAUGAAUAAGCAUCGGCUAACUCCGUGCCAGCAGCCGCGGUAAUACGGAGGAUGCAAGCGUUAUCCGGAAUCAUUGGGUUUAAAGGGUCCGUAGGCGGUUUAAUAAGUCAGUGGUGAAAGCCCAUCGCUCAACGAUGGAACGGCCAUUGAUACUGUUAAACUUGAAUUAUUAGGAAGUAACUAGAAUAUGUAGUGUAGCGGUGAAAUGCUUAGAGAUUACAUGGAAUACCAAUUGCGAAGGCAGGUUACUACUAAUAUAUUGACGCUGAUGGACGAAAGCGUGGGGAGCGAACAGGAUUAGAUACCCUGGUAGUCCACGCCGUAAACGAUGGAUACUAGCUGUUCGGAGCAAUCUGAGUGGCUAAGCGAAAGUGAUAAGAUCCACCUGGGGAGUACGUUCGCAAGAAUUGAAACUUCAAAGGAAUUGACGGCUUGAGACNGCGAGAGACGACGAGGAGGAGG
rnacentral:rRNA from 1 species